GUUUUGAGGAUUUUAUUUUGAUGGCAAUACGAUUUCAUUCUUGUGCUUGUGCCGCGCUGAUUCCGCUCCAAGCUCGUAUAUUAAAGUUGUUGCAGUUAACAAGAUCGUAGCUGAAUCUUGGGUCUGGCUGGCCGGUCCGCCUCACCGUGAGUACUGGCCCGGCCGGCCCUUUCCUUCUGGCGAUCCUCAUGGCCUUCACUGGUUGUGCGGGGAAACCGGGACAACCCCUACUUAUAAUUUGAAGGGCUUAAAGUGGGCUGUCCCCGCCUACCUGUUAUUGGAACAAACAUCCAACGACUUGAGCCGAUAUUCCGUUCUUUUUUCCAGCGGCCUAAAGCCUUAAAAGGGGAUUUCGGGGGGUGACUUUCCCAUCGUUAAUCGAAUAUUCCAGGAUAUAUUGAAGACCAACAAUAAACACAAACUACUGCAAGGAUGUUUUCCUUAAACGGUUUCCGAAAUUAGGGGGAUCGAAGACGAUGAGACAGCGACGUUGUCUCAACCAUAAUCUACGUAAACUAGAGGAUCUGCCGACUGCUGUAUCCUCACACGUCUCUUCCUUUGACUACAUCCAGAGUUUAUGAGUUCUGGGGGAGUAUGGGCUCCCUGGGUUGACUCUAAGCGCAGAGCGGAAACUGACAACACCUCGUCGGACUCUGCCUCCAUUGUCAUACACACAGACAAACUCUGAGUCACACAUGAUAAGCUCACUCACAUCUGAGACCUUUCUCGAGAUUUUCAUGGGGAAGGCGUUGGCGAUUUUGAGGUUGGAGAGAUAUUGGCGAGUUAAUUGCGGGACGAAAAAGAUCGCCUACCUGAAUAACCCGAACGCUAGUAUACGGGUGGCCUGGAUAACUAACCAAGGACAACCGUCCUGAUCCAGACUA
rnacentral:rRNA from 1 species